GAGAAAACCAGGGCAUGGUGGUCACACGGUGGCUGAGGAGGUGCCCUAGGGCAGGUUGAGUGGGACUGCACAGUCUUUGGAACUUACUUCUAAAUACUUUCAUCAAAGAUCUUGAGGGUGUGCAUGCAAGGACUGUUUACUUCUCUCUGGUACUGCACGGUCCAGGGAAGAUGUGCUCUUCCGAGAUAAUGCUUAUCUGCAGAAUGGGAGUAACUUGAAAGGCACCAAAGGCGCCUGAUGUUAUCAGCACUAAGUGGACAGCUUUACAGUUUCCAGACGAGUCAACAGCUUAACAGCUCUGCAGGUUUUUAAUUUUUUUCCCCCUCUUCU